rnacentral:siRNA from 1 species
CUGCGGAAGGAUCAUUGUCGAU